GUCAGCUGCAAAGCCGCCCCGCCGACUGGCGAAGGCCGCCCGGGAGGGUGUUCCGGCGGCGGAGCCCGGCGAAGGCUGCUCGGAGCCCGGCGGGGCGGGUGGGCCCGGGCCGCACCGACAAGGGCUCAGUCUCGGUCCCGGGAGCGCGGUCCCGGCGGGCGGCCCUCGGGGAAACGCGGGCCCCCUGCACACCCCAUUCUUUCAAUUAAGAAUACUCGUAUAUCAGGCAAUUAAUUUAGAACAAGAGUAUAAGCUCAUAACACUUGAUUCGGAUGAUAGGAAUCAUUUGAGGGAAUGGCGUGAAAGGGUGCUGUUUGUUUUUUCUUUGUAUUGUUGUUAGGAUGUUAUUUUUUUUUUUUUUUUUUUUUUUUUCCUCCUCUCCCGCCCCCCCAGCUCUGUCCCCGUGAAGUGCGGGCUGCGGGCUGCAGGGGGUGCAAGAGCUCCACUGAAGGUUCGCCCGGCUCCGCGGGUCCGGCACCGCGUUCAAUGGGCCUUUCUGGGCAGCGCGGAGCGCAGCGACGCCCCGAAUCCGGCCCUGGGAGAGGGGAUGAGAUCCGCCUGGGCUGUGACAGUGAGAGACGUGCUAUUAAACCCGGAGCUGAGAGUGAGAAAAGGGGAGACAGAGCGCCUGUAUUCGUCCUGUGACUCUUGCCCCCCCGCCCCGAAGAACACAGCGUGCCAAGUCGGCAGGGUUGCCUUGGUGGAAAAGGGUAUUUGCCCUGAACGGGAGUGCCAAACUAGUUUCUUCCCCAAUGAAAUGUAAACAAGGGACAAAUUCAAUACAUUAUCCAUGCAGAAAAAUGGAAACUAAAACGAAGAGAAAAAUGUAUCUGAAAAUUCCAGAGAACUGAGGAGUCACCUCCUUGGUCCUGUGCCUCCACUCCAGCACAGCCAGGACCUGGGAUGCAGUGGAGAUGCUCUCUGACCUGUGCAGCACAAGCUCUUCUGAAUACACCAAGGUAGAAGACACAUGUUCUGUGAAAACUCUGUUUGGGCCUUUUUGACAAACAUUAUUUGCAGAGAGCUGAAGGCCAGUGAAUUCUCCUUCCUGCAUGCUGGGCUAGAGGAACGGCCAUCACCUUUCACACCCCUGCUCUGCUGCGUAAAUUCCUGAGUAAUUGCAUCUCUGUUGUUCAUAGACUCCAUCAGUCCAAACCCAUUCUUCCAGCAAGGAGCCAUGAUGAAGAACAGCUCUUUGUCCUGGUAUUGUCCUGUUACUCAUUGCCUAGCAUUGUGUGACUGGCUCAAAGAUAAGUGGUCCAUCCUGUAAUUGCUGAGAUUUUGGGAUUAGUUCUUAAUCUAGAGCGAGCAGGCUGGCUGGAUAAGUGAGAAGGGCUGAUUACAUAUCUGUGACACUUUUACCAGUGUAGUUCUGAAUUUUAGACCUGAAAGUGGUGUAUUUUUGCCUUACAUUUAUGAGGGACAACCUUUCCUGCAAUAAUCUGAACGAACGAUCAGGUAGGCCACUGAAUAUCAAUUAAGUCCUAUUGACUUCAGUGACACAGGAUAGGACCAUACACUUUCUGUGAUUUAUGUGGUACUGUAAGCUAAAAUAUCUUUUAGAGAAUGACGAUCAGUGCAGUUUUCUGACAGCUAAUUAUGAGACCCUCACAAUUUGGAAGUACUAAACAAGAUUUCUGUCAUAAACAACGUCAUAAAUCUAGAAUGAUUCAAGUUUUAUUGUAAUGCAUUACAUGGAAGUUUAGAUCAUCUACUGAGGUUCCAUUGCAUCUUUCCUUCUCUCUGCACUAGUGGAUUUGUACUGGCUGGGUCUAGGCCUACUGCAAAAUGCAGUUUCUGCUCUCUGAAUGCCAGGUUCUACCAAUAAAAUCCUGUGAAACAAAUAAAUUAAUUGAGUUUGUUACUUUGCCAAUCCAGCUGAGUUCAGGAGUUUCCCUGAUUUAUAAAAAUGACUAAACAGAUUAUUUUGCAUAUUAUUAUUAUUAAUUAAUGAGUACAAUUUAAUAAAAUAUGCCAGUGUCAGGGCUUUUGGUUUUGUUGCUUCAAUCCACUGUGAAAUUGUAUGGACAAAGAGUAUUACUUGUGGGUUUUUUUACAUCAUCAUUUAAGUUUGUUUUAGAUUCAGUUUAAAACUAAUCUCAUGCUGUGACUACUUAAAACUUUUAAGACAUGUUGUUCAUACAAGCUCGCUAAUCAGCGAUAAGGCACCAUAAUGUUUACCAGAUCAGCCAAUCAGAUGUUUAGGAAAUUUAUAGGCUAAUGAAGUCAGACACUGCAACUACAAGGCAAUUUCCUUUUCUGAAUUGAGAUCAAUAUUUACUAGCUUUCUACAAUGUUGCCUAUGCUUGCUUGAUCAGCAUCUGCUUCUGAAGACCAUUGAUUGUCCAGAAGGCCUUUCAAAGGCAGAUAAUGCUCUUUUCAAAUACACUUUGUAUUGAUCAGCAAAAAGAAAGUUUUUGAUGGUGCAGAGUGCAAAAGCCAUUUAUAAAGAUUAAGGACAGUGAUAUGUCGCUGUGGGUCACAGUGAGGUUGAAUUAAUAUGGGCUAAUGCAUGUUCUACUUUUGAAGACAAUAGACAAAAGUAUUUGAGGAUUUAAGUGAUAGUAUGCCUCCACUUGCAAAAUACCUGCUAUACUCUCACCAGGGAAUUAAACCUUUCUCCUUCAAAAUGAAUUGCUUGUACCUACUCUCCAGUCUCUUCCCACAUGACUCUUUAUGUUCUGCGUCCUAUAACAAAUUAAUAUAUUAACUGGAUGGACCAUGGAAUUUGAUAGAAUGAUCAAAAAAAUAUAUUUUAGGUGUUUUAAACCAAUAUGAAAUAAAGAAAGAUGAAUGCAGUCAGAAUUUUUAUGGCAAAAUAAAUAGAGUAGUAGGGAAAUACCCUGAACUUUUGCAAAACAAACAAACAAACAACCCCCCAAAAUAUUUUUCCAGAACUAAAUUUCAGAGACUAUCAUAAGCUUUACUUUUGAUUCUUCUGAUUUUUCAUGUUUGAGGAACAUAGUGCAUCUGACUUUAUGUCGUAGAAAUGUGUGUGUUCUGAAAGCCAGUGUAUCAUCCCAAAAGAAAAAGGAUGACAGGAUAUUCACAGAGGUUUUGGUGUAAGAGUUGAUGCUAUGAAAGUUUAAGACAGGAGAUUAUGCUAGGAAGAAUUAGGACAGCUUCUUCAAGGAUGUAAUAGACUACUUAUGCUUCUAAAAUAAACAAAAUGGAAAGAGCGUGUAUGGUCUGGUGUUGUCUCCAUCUCUCCAACAAAAAUAACUGCAGCAUGUCUAUGAAAUAAGCAUUUGGUUUCCUAGCUGGAGUUCUCUGCAAAUGCCAAGGUUGAUCACUGGAAUAUGGCACAUACCUCCCAUUAAAGUAAACAGCAGUGACAUAUAUAUUCAAGGACAAAAUUCUAGUUUGAGUCUUUUAGCAACUUCAGUAACAUGUAUUUUACAUACAGGAAAUACGUGCGUCUCCUGGGCCUCUAGUCAAAUCUUUCUUUAUACAUAUGAAUACACUUUGCCAAAAAAACAAACAAAAAAAAAGUGAUCUCUGCAAAAGGCUAUGUACUUUCUAUUGUCUUAACUAAAGAAAAUUGAUAAUGAUUAAACAAUUCACUUGACAGAUUGCUGAAGUUCACACUCACAUGAUUCUCUGAGCCUUUCUGAAUAUCGUGGGGUUCUUGACUCCUUUAACAGGCACUGUCUGUCCUCAUUUGGUCAUGAUACAUUAAAACAGCCUUUUCUCCAACAGGCAAAAUUUCCUGGUGACACUUUCAAAGACUUCAGGUACAAAAUAAACUAGUAUUAAAUUUCCCAGAUAUCCCUAAUACUCCUCAUAGCAACACCUUAAGAUGUGUGUAAAACAAAGAAAAUACAAGCUGGAGGUUUGUUAGAAGUUUGAAUUUUGUUAUGAGUGUCCAAGCACAUAGAUUCUGACCUAAAAUACAUGGUCGCACCAGCACUGAAGGAGCCUGGGAGGGCCGAGUUCUUUCUGGAGUGGCCAAGCAUAUCUGUGACAGAGCUUGACUGAAAUAGAAAAAAAGGCUACUUCUGUUUUGCUUUCUGCCCUUCUCAUGCAGAAGUUCUGGGGUUUUCCCAAUUUGACCCUGAGGCUUCCUUUGACAGUUUAUUUUUGAUCAUUUAAACUUAUUGAGCUUUUUUUUUCAUAAACUUUUUGUGGUUUGCAUCCACCUCAGCUCCCUGGAGGAGGCCACUGCCUCCAAAUGUUUUAGCAUUCCGUUUCCUGUAAUGCUAUUAUAUAAUAAAUUUAAUAUGGAGGAGCCUGUCAAAGUGAAAUCUAAACUGGGUUAGUCUAAGAGUUGAUCCUUUAUGGUUGUUUCCUACUGUCCGGUUUGGGACCUCUGAAGUUUAUUUGUUUACAGAUAUGGUUUUUACUUCUUUCCUAGAAGGAUGGCACAUCCUUAUCAAAUCACAGUUUAUAGCCUCAACCCUUUCUUCAGAUGUUAGCUGAUGCUGUGAUUGGCAUUAAUUUUUUCUAAGACAUAGCAUAUUUAGUUAAAUUAAUUAUUCCACUUCUGUAUGCAUACUUUAUCCUAUUUAGAAUAGAAAUUUUGCUUCUUCACACCCUUUAAGAUAUCUAGUGUCCUUUAAAUGAUUUUCAGUUUAUAUGAGAAGAAUUUCUUGAGCACACGUGCAUUUCGCAUUUUUAAAAGUCUGUGGUCUUUGCAUUUAACACUUUCAUGGCUUUCAAAGACGACUCCACUUGGUGUGAGAGAAAAAAACAUCUACCGUUGGUAUCAAUAUCUGUAAUAUUAGUUUUUCCAUGAAGGUUCUCUCUAGUUUGCACAUAUCAUAAAUGACAAUAUUAAGCUCUAUAACAAAUUUUUUAACAACUGUAUAUCGCAUGUCAGUGAAAAAAGUAUCAGAUGUCACCAUGAUUAAUGAGCAAACUCCAGUGGAAGAAAUAACAUGAAAACUCUGCACACAAAGAAGUAUUGCAAUAGAGAUAUUUUAUUAGCCAUGUUUACAAAUGAAUCAAAUAACUGCACACCCCCAUAACAUGUGUUUGUGGUUGAUAUAAUUGAAGAAAAUAUGCAAAGAAUUUCAGUUUUCACAAAACAAUAAAUGUUUCUUGAAUAUGUGUUGCUAAAUUCAGUGCCAUCUAAGACUAAACACCUCAAAUAAAAAAAAAAGAAAAAAAAAAACAACAAAUCCCCCAAGAAACACAUUCUGCAUCUUGACUGAAAAAAGUAAUUUUCUUUUUUAACUAAAAAAGUAAUCUGAAGACAGUGAUAGUACUGUUAUUAUUGUUGUUGUUGUUAUUAUUUUUAUUAUUAUGCUAUUUAUAUUCUAUGAAGUGAUAUGGCAAAAUAAUGUAACGUCAAACUUUAUUAUUCAAGAAAAGCAAGUUUUUACAAUUCAGAGCAAUGUGGGUUUUUUGUCUGGAGAGGAAAACAGGCAUUGUUUGUUAAUGGGGCAAAGAAGACAGCAAAAAAUAUUGUGUUUUAGUUUAAGAAUUGAGUUAAAAAAAUAAUAUCUACAUUGUAACAUAAUCUAUGGUUUUAUUUUUAUUAAAACUUGACUGUGUGGUAAUCAAGACAUAUAAAAGACUCCUUGACAUUAUUGUAAUGAAAAGCCAUUUAGAGGUAUUACAUUUUGAACAACUUUUUUCCUACAAGUAUUCUCGGGCCUUUUUUAUAGAAUAUUUUAGAUGCUCAAGAAUUAGUCUUAUAGACUUCUCCUCUGUAGCACUUUAGGGAAUUUCUUUCACAGUUAUUUCUUAUGUUAAGUCAAACAUCCCAUUAAUUCUCAGCUUCUUCAAAUCCACCUUAGCAGUUAUAUGUCAGAGGCAGCAGCCGGUGGUGAACCACCUCUCCAUACACCAUGAAAUGUUUCCUCCUGAAUGUUUCUGCUCCAUGGUGUACAGCUUGAGGAAGUCUGAUGUAAUAUAUGUGAUAUAAGUUUCUAUCAGUCUACAUGUGUUCAAGAGGUAUUUCAUUCUCACUCAAAGUAAAGUUCAUUGCUUUCUGUCAAGAAGAUCCAGCCUUUGGCUGGAGGAAUGUGCAAAUUGUCAAGAAGUUUCCCUUUGACAAUGGAGAAGAUUCUGCUAUCCUCUCAAGUAUUAAUAUUAUUACCUCCUGAAUUCUUUUCUAGAGCCUGAAUUUCAGUGAAGCUUGUUUUCUGUUUGACAGAACACUACAGAUAUAUAUGAUGAAAAUUUGGAUUGCUUGUUAAAAGAACUGUUGAUUUUCAGAAGGCCAUGGUUUUACCCAUUGUGUGAAAAUCUCGUCUUGUUUAAAUUCAUGCAGGGAAUGUAGGUUUUUUUCACGGAGCAGAGACAUGAUCAGAAUAAUUUUAAGUCAUUUGUUACCCAUUAUGAAGAUAAGGUGUCCUGAGAGACCUAGAAAUAGUUAAAUUGGAAUCAUCUGGGGUUAUGUUUUUCAUGGCACUUCUCCAGAUUCAGAAGUGAGCAUGUGCCUUCUUGGGCGUCACUCAGCAGCAACUGCAGCAAAGUAGAUGUACCAUAAACAGGUUCCAGGACAAUAUUUCUUGGAAGGAUGUAUGCACCUGGUUGAAGCAGAAAUGGAUUGCAGCCACACAUCAUGAGAAGCAAAAAGCUGCUGGAAGGAACAGUCCUUCUACAUCACUGUCCUCCUUCUCCCAACCUAAGCUCAUUGCAUUUCAUAUACGAAGUGUUUGCACCACUGAAGUUUCCGCUCCAGCACUGACAGCUGAUCAUCCUGACUAAUGUUGCCAGGCAAUUAAAAUUUUCUUAGUCUGUGAAGGUAGAUAAUGUUCACUUGUUUGGAGCCCAAUCCACAUUUCUGGUGCAUACUUACCUGAUCCUGUCAUACCUGCUGCCUGCUACCCUAUGGGGAGUUUCCAGGUGCCUGCUUAGAUAUGCAGUCCUCCUGUCCCAUUAUCAGUAGAUGCUGGCCUGACUGGAUUUGUGUAUUUGAGCAGCCAGUAAUUUUAAAAACACUCACAAAACAGAAAAAAUCUGAACAGCAGUGGAGCUUUCUAGGUUCCACAACUAUCCUUGCAAUAUAUAAGAUUCAAAAUCCUGCAACGUGAAGCCUGUACGUUGAAGCCUCAGACAUUGCAAAGCCCACAGACCUGGAAGGAUUAGGUUCAAGCUGGUGCUUUUGUUAUAGGCUUGGCUUCUCAAUGUCAGAAGUUUGGUCUGAAAAAUUGCCUUUCAGGAAGCUGGCCAAGACGCAGAAGCAAACUUGGCACUUUACUCGCACUAAAAAUGUCUCUGUCCAUGCCAUAAACAUCACUGCAUGCUAGAGAUGGGGCCAGCUGGGCACUUUUUGCUGACUUUCUCAAGGACAGUCUUGGCAGGGUGGCAUUACUGAAACAGUGUGUCUCACUUAUUUCCUUUCUGACCCUUCAUGGACAUAACUGAACAAAUACAAACCACUUGGCCCAGCCUCUUCAUUGCUCACAGACGCUAUUUGCUCCUUUGUUUUGGGCACACCUGGCCUUUGAGAAAGGACAUGGGCAUGGGAGUGGGUGCAGGCAGCCUGCAACCCAGUGAACGCAGGCACAGGUGGUAGGGAUGUUAUGCAAGGCUUCUACUCAUGGAUCCCAGUUUCUUGCUCGUAUUUUCCCUUCCUUUUGGUUUCUGCCAGGAGGCAUGAUGGAAUUUCAAAAACAGGGUAGGCUAAGGAGCCUGUAGAGCCCUCUGUGUGGCUGUGCCAGGCUGGGCAGGGCCAAACAGCCCCAAUGUGGAAGUGUGAGAGCAGAUCAGCUUAGGACAUUUCCAUUGGGGGCAGCUUUAUGGUGUCCUAACACAUGUGUGUGGACAUAGCUACAGCAAACCUUUUACAGUUCUUAUUUGAAGGCCCCUGCCAUUUGCUGAAUUUAUCUCUGACUAUAUCAUGUCCUUCACCCCAGCUUCAUUCACUAUUGUUCCUCACUUUUCUUCUGUUCCCAUUCUUCUUUUCUUCCCAUAUGCCAUGUCCAUAGCCUCCCAUUCCCCCCAAGAAAAGCAGUCAUGGGUUGACAUUUGUUGCAAUCAUGCUGUUCAGUUUUCAAAUUUUGUUAAUUCCUGUCAUUUUCAUACAUCUUGUUUAAUUUAAUUGUAAGCUGUUUAAAACAGGGGCAGCUUUUCUGUGUUCAUACAAUGACUUGCUCAAUGUGUCUGUGACCUUGAUAAUUACUCAGGUGCAAUUAUAAUAAAGAGUUAUUAUCAGCUACAAUAAUUAUUCUAGGACCAAGAAAAAUACUGUCAUAUCCUUAGUUCAUUCCUCUCCGGUUCUUGAGCAAUGAAUGAGCCUGAACACAGUUGUGUACUCUGCCCCAUGUAUUGCAGUGAUGUUGUUGGAAAUGUUUUUGAAUGUUUGCAAUGAACUGUUCAGAAGUUCUUCUCAUUGUGUGAAAAAUGGGAUAUUAACCCAUUGCUGAGCAAGG